UUGAUGGAGAGUUUGAUCCUGGCUCAGGAUGAACGCUGGCGGCGUGCCUAACACAUGCAAGUCGAACGGUCCCUUCGGGGAUAGUGGCGGACGGGUGAGGAACACGUAGCUAACCUGCCCUCAAGACUGGGAUAACCCUGCGAAAGCAGGGCUAAAACCGGAUAAGCUCACGAGGAAGAGAGGCCUGGUGAGAAAAGUCUAAGGAGCUUGAGGAGGGGGCUGCGGCCCAUCAGCUAGUUGGUAGGGUAAUGGCCUACCAAGGCGACGACGGGUAGGGGGCCUGAGAGGGUGACCCCCCACACUGGGACUGAAGACACGGCCCAGACACCUACGGGACGCAGCAGUGAGGAAAAUUGCGCGGA
rnacentral:ncRNA from 1 species